UGAACCCUCUCACCUAGAGGAAGGAGAAGUCGUAACAAGGUCUCCGUAGGUGAACCUGCGGAGGGAUCCAUAGCAAUCGUAUUGUUUGGCGAUCGUUCCUGGGAACGGUGCGGGGUUCGCCCUGCGUCCGCCAACCCAACACUUGGCUAGGGCUGGGCCAGCAGCAGCGGGCUGGGCCUGCCGCGUACCUCGGUACCGGCACCAACCGCUGCUGCCCCCGGACCCAGGUCUCCCUGCCUAGGGUGCCCCCGCACGAUGCGCCCGCUCCUAACACGAGGCCGAGGCGCGCGGGUGGUACGGGCCGUAUCACCCGGACCCGGAUGCCACCAGCACGUCGGCGCGCCCUGCUCCGAUGGUGGGUGGGAUUCGCCCAUGGGAUUGAUGCCGGUCGGGGGCUCCAGCAACAACGGUGCUCCCAUGCACCCCUGGACCCCCACGCCUAUCCAAAAUCCUCUCUUAACCGUUGACCUGCAGGGCUCGCCCCUCAGGAUUCUAACCGAAAAUCAACACUAUACA
rnacentral:misc_RNA from 1 species